UGAGCCACUUGCUAUUCUUUUAAUAAGCACAGCUCAAGUUGUUUAUCUCUUCCAUAUAAUUUAUCCAGACACACUGCUUCACAAUUAGCAGCCUGGGUUGAGGUGGGAGAGGGCUAAGAUGUGUUCUUAUAGCUUCCCCAUUUUGAUCCCCAAAGUUGCUCAUUUUGGGGGCUCUUUGUUUUGUUUUGUUUUGUUUUGUUUUUAAUAGGCCUGCCAAUCAGGGUGCUGCAGUGCAUAGAUCUGAUCUAUGCUGACAAUAUGCUUGUCACUGGGAAAUGCGUUUCUAGGACAUAGGCCCUAGCAGGGUAGGGGGAGCCAGUCAAGAGGAAACAAUUAUGCAAAUUUAAAUGUUAAAUUCUCUGGAGCCCCUGCCUCAGCCUGGGAGAGGAUAAAGGUCUGCUUCCUAUCUCCUUUUCGAGGGACAGCAGUCUCUCUUGCCACAGAUCUUCUACUGGGGAUUCCUAGGUUAUUUAAGCUUCUGCAAUGUGGCCCCUGGACACAUGGUUUGGAAACAGGACUUGGGGGCAGAACAUCCCACCUUGUGUAAAACAUGGCUUGGUUCUCUCAGCUUUGCCAAACAGGAGCGGCAUUCUACUAUCAACGUCGGCUUUGUACCUGGCACAAGUCUGUGGGGACAUACUAGAAAGGCUCUCAGGUGCUUAGGACUCUUUGGUCAACACUCAUAUGUUGAAACCCACGUGUUGGUUCUCAAACCAUAAAGACUGUGGCUCAUUACAAGGAAGUUUAAAAGUACUGAGCGAAAGGAAACCACACAAACACCAAAGAACAAAGCGAAACAAGACAAAAUUCUCCUGCCUGAAGUUUUCUCUGACUGUGUGUAUACAGGGUAUAUUUCUAAAAACAUAAGGAAUUAAAAGAAGAGGCUCCUGGAAAAGCCGUUAAAAUGUUCUCCAAAUAGCCAACUUCUAUAACUGCAGCCACAUUUGCAGGUAAAUAACAGUAACCACCAGCACCAAUCCUGAGAUGUGUCAAUCACCGAAAGGGUGCCGCUGACACCACUCCACCUUUCCACUGACUGACACCAUGAGAGCGGGUGCCGUUAAUCCUGUCUUAUAAACGGGCAGUACGGAGUGGUAUAUCGGUUGCACCUCUUAUUUCUGGGACCAAAUACCAGACAGGAAGCAACUAAGGGAAGGACUUAUUUCUACUCACAGCUCAAAGAUGCCCAAGCCCAUCAUGGUAGAAGAUGGCUGCAGGAGCUGAAGGCAGCUGGUCUUACUGCAUCUGCAGUUAGGAGGCAGAGAGAUGACUGGUACUCAGCUCACUUUCUUCUUUGUAUUCAGUCUUGGAACUCCAGCCUGUGGGCCGGUGUUGCCUGUAUUCUGGAUGAGUCCUCCCACCCUAGUUAAAGCUCUUUGGAAACACCCAAGCACCUGUUUCCAUGGUAAUUCUAAACCGAAUCAAUUGACCAGGAAGGUUAACCACCAAAGACGGGUAACCAGACUUGCUCAAAGUCAUGCAGCCAGGCCUCACCAACCUGGGGCUCCAGCCUACCCCAGGCAGUCUCAGGACACCCUCUUCUCUGUAAGCUGCCCUGCCUCCACAGAGCAUCUUGAGAAACCGGUAUCCUAGGACACACCUGUCUUCUUUUUCUGUCAAGCUAAAUGUUCCUGUUCCCUUUUGGCUGCUGCUUCCACGGGCUAAAGAGGCUCCGAAUGGAUGAGAACAGGUUUUGAUUAAUUAGGUUUUUGUUGCCAAGGAAUUAAUUUGGUUCUCCACCCCCUCCUCCUGCUCAAAAAGCACACAACAAAAUGAUUCGAGCAGCAGGGAUAAUUAGAGAAAAUAUGGCGUUCACUUGAAUGGAAUCUAAACAUUUUAGAGUUUUUAUUGUUCAUUAGGACCGCUAGUGUGUGCAAAGAAAAGAGGGUAAGACUGAGCAGGCCUCAGGAGGACAGACACCAAGCUUCCUCGCUCUCUGCUACCUUUGCCUAUACUCUACGGAAGUCUGUGAGGGACAGCCUUGAUACUGAACCUGAGAAUAACUGAGCCCCAUCUACCAGGGAGGGCCCCUCAAAGGCAGAGGCAGAUAAGCCUCUUUCUGCUACCUUGCUCACAGGGCCAUCUUAAUUUCUCUAGGCCUCAGCACGGAUUUACACUUGUGGCUAUGGAGGGAGAUUGCACAAACGAAAGGCAGAAGCACCGGCCGCUUAGGCCUGCAUAGCUGGGCACUUGGAUUCCUCCAUGCAUCUGCUUCUAACCUGUGCUGGUUGUUGACCUUUGAUUUCCCCUUUCAUUGUGCUGGAAUAUCUCUCAGUAGCGUCCUGAGAGAAGAGCCAAGAAGACAAGUGGCUUACACUAGUUUGAAACUCAACAUACUUUCUUUCUACUCUGAUCCAUUCAAACCAUCAUCGGAGUCCAGAACUCUGGGUUGAGAACUAGAAUCUUGAAAGCAUCUUUGCAGAUGUUUCUGCUCCCACAUGUGGCCUUGGCCCAGGCUUAGUUUGUGAGCUCUAUGUCAUCCAUCUGCUGUGGGAAACACAGAAGCAGAAAUGCUCAAACCUUUUUAUGUUAAUUUGAUUGAGUCUUUUUUUUUUUUUUUUUGGUCUGUUGAGACUGAUAGUAAAACUGUGGGCUUUUAAUCUAUGCAUCUUCACUGGAUUUGUUUUUGCUAGUAAUUCUUUGGCAGAGUCUGGUCCUUGGCCACAUCUUAAGAUGUAGGAUAAAAACUACUGUCUCAAAGACACAACUUUGCUCUUGAGUCUUUGCCCAUUUGGCUGAUUCUUAUAGGUAGCUCUUUUGGGUUUUCUUUCAAGAAUUGUAGGAGUUGGUUUUGAAUACAAGGACUUCAAAGCCUUGCUGGGAUCUUUUGUG
rnacentral:lncRNA from 1 species